UACGUAGGGUGCAAGCGUUGUCCGGAAUUAUUGGGCGUAAAGAGCUCGUAGGCGGUCUGUCGCGUCUGCUGUGAAAAUCCAGGGCUCAACCCUGGACCUGCAGUGGGUACGGGCAGACUAGAGUGCGGUAGGGGAGAUCGGAAUUCCUGGUGUAGCGGUGAAAUGCGUAGAUAUUGGGAGGAACACCAGUGGCGAAGGCGGCUCACUGGACCGGUUCUGACGCUGAGGCGCGAAAGCGUGGGGAGCAAACGGG
rnacentral:rRNA from 1 species